ACUCGGAAUGAGACGCCCUAGCUAACGAAUGAGCAACUACAUUCGCAACUAUGCACAAACUGCACCCAAGUCACAUACGUACCCAAGUCACUGUAUACACCUAUUCACUCUGCUUCAAAUUCGUUCUGCACGCUCUCCGAUUACAACUUCACCGCCUCACCCCUCAUCAUCCCUUAGCCUCCAGUUAUCAUCUCCCCACAACUCCGAUCAUCACCUCGUUUUUCUUUCACAACAUCACUUCCCUCUUUUGUUCGAGUCCGAUGUUGCUGUGUCUUCAUCUCCGCUGUGCCACUGUUGAGCUCCGCUGAAAUUGUCGCUGCCGCCUGUUCUUCUUGCUCUUCCCGGCGAAUUCACCUCCCCUCUCACCUGCUAUUGUAAUCAGUGGUUAACUCCGUUUGCGUCGACAACUGAAGUACCGUGUUACUCUUGGAGAAUCAACUGAGACUUGUAUAUCAAGGACAUUCAGAAGUAAUUGAACAGCUUUGCGAAUUGAAUCAGGAAUCAGGAAUAGUUCCCUAUGACGAAGCUGUGCUGUGAGAUAGUCCGGUAGAAUUUAAUUGGUGUGAAAAUCAGCAAAACUGAGAUAGUGUUAAAGAUGAUUCAUCUGUCUAGGCUGCGCGUAAGAGUAAUGCUAGGCAAGGAUUUCAAGUGAUUAGUUGUAACUGAAUGAUCAGGUAAAGUAUUCAGGAAGAUGUCUGCGAGAUUAGUGGUAAUUAGAGUUGGCUUAAUUUCGCUUCAAAUGUAAAAUAAAUUUAUUAAAUAUUAUCAGCUACUCUGAUAAUUUAGAUUGUGUUGUAAUAAGAUUUAUUAGUUGUGAUUCUGAUUUCAA